CACGUAGGGUGCGAGCGUUGUCCGGAAUUAUUGGGCGUAAAGAGCUCGUAGGCGGUGUGUCGCGUCGGCCGUGAAAACCUGCAGCUUAACUGAGGAACUGCUUUCGAUACUGCUGUGCUUGAGUAAGACAGAGGUAAGCGGAACUUAGGGUGGAGCGGUGAAAUGCGUUGAUAUCCUAAGGAACACCGGUGGCGAAGGCGGCUUACUGGGUCUUAACUGACGCUGAGGCACGAAAGCCAGGGUAGCAAACGGG
rnacentral:rRNA from 1 species